rnacentral:tRNA from 1 species
GCCGGGGUAGCUCAGUUGGUUAGAGCAUAAGAUUGAAAAUCUUAGUGUCACCAGUUCAAUUCUGGUUCUCGGCA